AACCCUGUUUCCACCCCCCUCCCCAUUUCAAACAUCGCUUUAUUUCUGCUGUGGAUUCUCUCCUGGCCCAAGGCCUUCAUGCUACAUGAGCAGACCCAGAACUGAGACCAGCCCAGAAGCACAGGCCACUUUCUGCUGCUGAGAAAUCCUCUUCCUUCCCAGGGCACAGACAUGCCUGCAAGAGAUGUGGGAAAUCAGUCGUGAGAAGUUGUAAUUAAUGAUCUUCUGGGUCUUGGCACUUAAGGAAACAGAAGACCACCAGGGACUGGAGCAGCCUGUUGGAUAAGAGUUGUCCUCAGGGAAGGCCUCUCUCUUAGGAAAGAGGGAGACUUUGGAAGGCGAGCAGAAGGAUUUGGGUGGCAGGGUCUCUGCAGCUUUCAAGGCUGGUACUCAUUUGCUUACCUUUGCAUCAGAACAGAAGUAACCUGAGUCUUGGACCCUGGUACUUGAGAGAAGCCAUCCUGGUCUAAGG
rnacentral:lncRNA from 1 species